GCUAAGAGAAUGAUUAAACAAUUAAAAGCUUUCUUUAAUUGAAUAAUUGAAUUUAAUUUUUUAGUGCAAAAGCAAAAAUAAAAAUUAGGGACAAGAAGACCCUAUGAAUUUUUUAUUAAAUUUUAUAAAACUUUAUAUAAAAUUUAAUUUAAUUGGGGUGAUGGAAAAAGAAUAAAUAUUUUUUUUUUUAAAAAAAAUUGGUUCCGUUUUUAGCGAUUAAAUGAAAAAAAUACUCUAGGGAUAACAGCGUAAUAAUUUUGGAUAGUUCAUAUAGAUAAAAUAGUUUGCGACCUCGAUGUUGGAUUAGGAUUCUUUUUUGGUGAAAAAGUUAAAAAAAGAAGUUUGUUCAACUUAUAAUUUCCUACUUGAUCUGAGUUCAAACCGGA
rnacentral:rRNA from 1 species